GUUAGGAAUAUUGGACAAUGGGCGCAAGCCUGAUCCAGCCAUGCCGCGUGAGUGAUGAAGGCCUUCGGGUUGUAAAGCUCUUUAGCCGAUGAUUAUAAUGACUGUAGUCGGAAAAUAAGCCCCGGCUAACUUCGUGCCAGCAGCCGCGGUAAUACGAAGGGGGCGAGCGUUAUUCGGAAUCACUGGGCGUAAAGCGUGCGUAGGCGGCUUUGCAAGUUGGGAGUGAAAGCCCAGGGCUCAACCCUGGAAUUGCUCUCAAAACUGCAAGGCUCGAAUUCGGGAGAGGAUAGCGGAAUUGUCAGUGUAGCAGUGAAGUGCGUAGAUAUUGACAGGAACACCAGUGGCGUAAGCGGCUAUCUGGACCGAUAUUGACGCUGAGGCACGAAAGCGUGGGGAUCAAACAGGAUUAGAAACCCGUGUAGUCC
rnacentral:rRNA from 1 species